CGCACGAGCGCACCCCUGUCCUUAGUUGCCAUCAGGUAAUGCUGGGAACUCUAAGGAGACAGCCUGUGAUAAGCAGGAGGAAGGUGGGGAUGACGUCAAGUCAUCAUGGCUCUUACGUCCUGGGCUGCAAACGUGCUACAAUGGCUGGUACAAAGGGCUGCGAUACCGCGAGGUGGAGCCAAUCCCAAAAAACCAGUCUCAGUUAGGAUUGGAGUCUGCAACUCGACUCCAUGAAUCUGGAAUUGCUAGUAAUCGCGGAUCAGCAUGCCGCGGUGAAUACGUUCCCGGGUCUUGNACACACCGCCCGU
rnacentral:rRNA from 1 species